UCCUCUACGGUGCUACAGGCAAAUCGAUCUCCCCAAUUAACUCUCCCAAGUCUAUCUUUUCUUCUUCUACUUCCGAUUCUCUUCUCCACCAAAUUAAUGUACGAGUAACGGAUGGUGUCGAUUCCACUAUAAGCAAUGGAUCACCUGUCACCUGCUGUUACAGGCCUCGAGGAGGAGGCGGAAGCUCGAGGCUUCUUGAACUAGCCGGCCGUCGGUGGGAGACGCCCCCUCCAGCGUGCAGCCACCGCCCGUGGUGACGUCCCUCCUGUAUCCUGGCCAUGUUCGGUAACUGACCGCUCUAAUGUUCUCGCGUUCUCCAUGGCCCAGUCCAUCGAUGGCAUCACCACAUGAUUUACAAGAAACGGAUGGUGUUACCACUCACCACACAAUGGCACAAAUUCCAGGGAAACUACUAGUGGUAAAUCAACCUCGGGCUUAUCCUUUAAAGAUCAGCCUGGAGUGCAGAAGUGUGUAUGGAUCUUAUUUUCUGAAAGCAAAGAAUCAGCUUCCGCCACAACUGAACACAUUCUCUUUUUUUAUUACUCUUACCAACAAUUACGUGGAGAGUGAUUGGGUCCCUCUUUAGUCCUCCUUACAUCAUCUAAUCUAAUCUUUUAUCUGAUUUCUUAUUUUCUCAGAUUUGGCCGGGGGCUGCUUGAUGAUUUGUUGCAGAUUGCAACGCCUAUUUUUGCUUCCUUCCUAUAUAGGUUUCAUACUGCUCGAGUUAGUAGAUAACCAUCCCAUAUGUAAGAUUUAUUCUCUGAACUGGAAGAACACAUGGCAUGCACCUUAUAUUUGUUUCAGUACGCAACACAACACAUGCAUAUGAUUCCCUUCAUUCCAUGUAACGCAUUGGUUGGAACAAAUCAUCGACAACCCAGGACUAAACCUCAUUUUCCCUUCUAUUCAAGUAAGUCAUAAUCAUCACUCAAUCAAAGACAGGCUUGGAUGAAUUUAGGUCGGCAUUUAUGUGAGGCAACUAUGGUGUAUUGAAGCCAGUCCUUUCAUAAUUUCAUUUUCCUCUAUUCUACACAGGGUGGACCUACUGGUAUCACAUACAGAUCAACAGUGAAAUGGUGACAACCCCAUCCGUUUGCGGCACAUUCAUGGCUGCGGCCUCUUGAUCAUUCCACAUGACGUGCACCACUAAGCUUUGUCAAUUUGAAGCAGCAGUUUACUGCAGCCCAUGUGAGCACAGACAUCCAUGCGAGUUGACAAGGGCUUAUAAUUUGCUCUGUUACGCGUCCAGGCUUCAACAUCAUGUUCUUUUAGCAGAUCCAUAUAAUGUCAUUUAAAAAAUUAUUACGGAAUAGAUGCGCCCUAAUUUUUGUUAUCCUUUGAGUAUUGGUGAAGCUAGACAUCGCGAGUUGGAACGAUCAGGAAACCAUGCCAUUGUUGUCACUUUUCCUCCUUUGGAUAUUGAGUGCAUGACUAA